rnacentral:rRNA from 1 species
GAUGAACGCUGGCGGCGUGCCUAACACAUGCAAGUCGAACGAAACUUCCUUAUCACCGAGUGCUUGCACUCACCGAUAAAGAGUAGAGUGGCGUACGUGUGAUUAACACGUCGGCAAGCUGCCCUAAAGAGGGUGAUAACACUUGGAAACAGGUGCUAAUACCGCAUAAUGAUAGUUAGCGCGUUUUAACGGUUGAGAAGGUACCUGCACUACCGCUGUUUGAUGGGCCGGCGGUGCAUUAGCUAGUUUGUAGGGUAAAGGCUUACUAAGGCGAUGAUGCGUAUACGAAUUCAGAGGUUGGUAGCCCACCUGGGAGCUGAGACACGGACAAUACUACUACGAGACGCCGCAGUAGGGAAUGUUACACAAUGGGGGAGAGCAUGAUAGAGCAAGGUGGAGUGUGUGACGAUGAUCCUCGGAUCGUAAAGCCCUGUUGUUAGUGAAGAACCUGAGUCAGAUUAAACGUUGCGGUAUUGACGGUAACUGGCAAGAAAGCCCCGGCUAACUACGUG